rnacentral:rRNA from 1 species
GACGAACGCUGGCGGCGUGCCUAAUACAUGCAAGUCGAGCGAAGUUUUUCUGGUGCUUGCACUAGAAAAACUUAGCGGCGAACGGGUGAGUAACACGUAAAGAACCUGCCUCAUAGACUGGGACAACUAUUGGAAACGAUAGCUAAUACCGGAUAACAGCAUUAACUGCAUGGUUGAUGUUUGAAAGUUGGUUUUGCUAACACUAUGAGAUGGCUUUGCGGUGCAUUAGCUAGUUGGUGGGGUAAAGGCCUACCAAGGCGACGAUGCAUAGCCGACCUGAGAGGGUGAUCGGCCACACUGGGACUGAGACACGGCCCAGACUCCUACGGGAGGCAGCAGUAGGGAAUCUUCCGCAAUGGGCGAAAGCCUGACGGAGCAACGCCGCGUGAGUGAAGAAGGAUUUCGGUUCGUAAAGCUCUGUUGUUAGGGAAGAAUGAUUGUGUAGUAACUAUACACAGUAGAGACGGUACCUAACCAGAAAGCCACGGCUAACUACGUGCCAGCAGCCGCGGUAAUACGUAGGUGGCAAGCGUUGUCCGGAAUUAUUGGGCGUAAAGCGCGCGCAGGUGGUUUAAUAAGUCUGAUGUGAAAGCCCACGGCUCAACCGUGGAGGGUCAUUGGAAACUGUUAAACUUGAGUGCAGGAGAGAAAAGUGGAAUUCCUAGUGUAGCGGUGAAAUGCGUAGAGAUUAGGAGGCACACCAGUGGCGAAGGCGGCUUUUUGGCCUGUAACUGACACUGAGGCGCGAAAGCGUGGGGAGCAAACAGG